GGAGGACAGAACCAAGGAUGGGAAGAAGAAAAGUGCACCCUUGAAUGCUUGAUAACAAAUCUUGCUUGCCUCUGGGAAACCUCAGAUUUUUGUGAGUUUUGCUGUAAGCAAGGAGCAGAUUCUGCUAGUGAAAACUAAGACUUAGUGAUGAAAAACAAAAUACUUCCAGGUCUGCUGAAACGAGGCAGGAUUCAAUAAAUGGUCAGAAAUAGUAUGGAAUGGAAGAAG